CAACUAAAACGAACAGGCCCAUAGUCAUAAAAUAAGAUAAUUUUCGCAAAGAAGAUUUUGCUCAAAUUGGUGUGUCAGCCCAAUAUUUAACCUUCUCUAGGAGAGACAAAGCAUUUCUAGUGGAACGAGAAGCAUUAUUUCUGAAGAUCCUGUUGCACAUCACUUUCUUUUUGACACCACAAGGAUGUCGUGUAACGACUGUUCUAAUUCAAGUUCCAGCAAGAAUAAACAUUAUACACCAAUGGAAAGGAAUAUAUUCCUUACAAAUAUUGAAUCUUUUUAAACAUAUUAUAGAAUUAAAAAAAGUGAUGGCAAUACAUUAAAAGAGGUAACAUGGAAGGAAAUUUGCAAUAGAUAUAAUGAAUCUGCAUUAAUUUCUCAAAAGAGAACUGUCCAACAAU